GUUAUGUUGAGAGUAUAAUAGGAGAAAACAGCUAGUUUGCUUUUCCUAUAACAUGCUGCCUUAGCUGGUGAUGUGAUAAAAGUAUCAACAGUACGGCCGGGCGCGGUGGCUCAUGCCUAUAAUC